rnacentral:rRNA from 1 species
AUUGAACGCUGGCGGCAUGCUUUACACAUGCAAGUCGAACGGUAACAGGCCGCAAGGUGCUGACGAGUGGCGAACGGGUGAGUAAUGCAUCGGAACGUGCCCAGUCGUGGGGGAUAACUAUCCGAAAGGAUAGCUAAUACCGCAUACGAUCUGCGGAUGAAAGCGGGGGACCUUCGGGCCUCGCGCGAUUGGGGCGGCCGAUGUCAGAUUAGGGAGUUGGUGGGGUAAAGGCUCACCAAGCCAACGAUCUGUAGCUGGUCUGAGAGGACGACCAGCCACACUGGGACUGAGACACGGCCCAGACUCCUACGGGAGGCAGCAGUGGGGAAUUUUGGACAAUGGGCGCAAGCCUGGUCCAGCAAUGCCGCGUGCAGGAAGAAGGCCUUCGGGUUGUAAACUGCUUUUGUACGGAACGAAACGGCUCUGGUUAAUACCUGGGGCUAAUGACGGUACCGUAAGAAUAAGCACCGGCUAACUACGUGCCAGCAGCCGCCGUAA